rnacentral:rRNA from 1 species
CACGUGGGUGAUCUGCCCUGCACUUCGGGAUAAGCCUGGGAAACUGGGUCUAAUACCGGAUAGGACCCCUCGGCGCAUGCCUUGGGGUGGAAAGCUUUUGCGGUGUGGGAUGGGCCCGCGGCCUAUCAGCUUGUUGGUGGGGUCACGGCCUACCAAGGCUCCGACGGGUAGCCGGCCUGAGAGGGUGUCCGGCCACACUGGGACUGAGAUACGGCCCAGACUCCUACGGGAGGCAGCAGUGGGGAAUAUUGCACAAUGGGCGCAAGCCUGAUGCAGCGACGCCGCGUGGGGGAUGACGGC